rnacentral:lncRNA from 1 species
UUCACGCUCCAAUAACCAAACAAACCCUAAAUUUCCUAAUUCAGUCGCCGCUCAUUUUCAUCAUCAUCGGUGGCCAUCUUUCAUCAUCAUCGGCGGCCAUCUUUCAUCAUCACCGGUGAGCGGCAGCCAUCGUUCAUCACUUCACGUCUAUUCCAGCCGUCUUUCAUCAUCACCGGCGUCGUUCUACCAUUUGAUGUUGUCGUAAUAAACACUCAAAAAAUGGCUAGAAUUUAAGGAUGUGUUUAGUGACGGCAUCAGAUUCCUAAUUGAUGGAGAAAAGUCUGGUGGCAAGAAAAGAUGCUUCCAGGAGGUUGUCAAGUGUUUUCGCUCGACGAUUCCAUUCUUGGGUGGUUGGUUUGACCCUUGUUCCUGUAACUCGAAUCCUAGCCCGGUAUAUCCCAUUUUAGUUUUACACCAUUGUGAACCUUACGCUUUUUUUACUCUCUGAUCGAGGUUCUCGGCAUUGAAAAAUCUUCAUAAACUAAAUCACACAUUUUCGUAACAUUUCGUGUCUUAACGGGUCAUUUCGUGUAACCUGUUUAUUAACAGGUUCGUGUUCGUGUUUGGAAAUCUGACCCGAUAAGAUUUCGUGUCGUGUUCGUGUUUACAGGUUUCGUGUUCGUGUCUUAUCGUGUUCAUGUCUUAACAGAUCGGGUUGACCUGAUAUGCCAGCCCUACCGGUGUUAUUUUGACAAUAUCAAUUCGUUUCUCAAGGUAAAUAAUAAAAUAAUCAACUAUAUUUGACCCUUAACAGUAUAUUCAAAAGUUAUAAGACGUUAAAGUAUAUUACUAAAAUAACGAAAAGGGUAGACACGUCAUUUUAUAAAAGAAAUAAAAUAAACCGUGAUGUAACUUUGAUGACAUGUAAGCUUGUUCUUCAAUCACUUGUAUGUUAUUAUUCACAACUCGAUUUUGAGUAACAUGAUCUAUAUUUAGAUAAAAAUAAGCAGGUCAUAAUGAUUAAAAUUUUUAUAAAAAAAAUC